CAGUAGCCACGGUAAUACGUAGGGUGCGAGCGUUAAUCGGAAUUACUGGGCGUAAAGCGUGCGCAGGCGGUUGUGUAAGACAGGUGUGAAAUCCCCGGGCUUAACCUGGGAACUGCGCUUGUGACUGCACAGCUAGAGUAUGGCAGAGGGGGGUGGAAUUCCACGUGUAGCAGUGAAAUGCGUAGAGAUGUGGAGGAACACCGAUGGCGAAGGCAGCCCCCUGGGCCAAUACUGACGCUCAUGCACGAAAACGUGGGGAGCAAACAGGAUUAGAUACCCGAGUAGUCCCUGUCUCUUAUAC
rnacentral:rRNA from 1 species